GUGCGCCGUAAAUGAUCGGGAAUAAGUAAUACACCGAAGACGCGGGCUUCGAAAGAAGCGGUAGAGGAGCGUAGUUAACCGCAUUGAAGGUCGACCGGAAGGACGGCUGGAGCGUUAACUAGUGCGUAUGUCGGCAUGAGUAACGAUAAUGCUAGUGAAAAUCUAGCACGCCGUAAGUCUGAGGUUUCCUGGGGAAGGUAAAUCCGCCCAGGGUUAGUCGGGUCCUUAGGUGAGGCCGAAAGGCGUAGUCGAUGGACAGCAGGUUAAUAUUCCUGCACCACUUAUUAGGUUGAAGCAGUGCGACGCUGUAGUAGAGUCGAUCCGUCUUACUAGAUUGACGGUCCGCAAGGACGAUGGACGCUUUGAUUCCAAAGUCGGCAACGCGGCAGCCAAGAAAAACCACUGUGGACAAAAUAAGUGCCCGUACCACAAACUGACACAGGUAGACGAGGCGAAUAGCCUCAGGCGCUCGAGACAACUCCCUUUAAGGAACUAGGCAAUUUUCCCCCGUAACUUCGGGAUAAGGGGUGCCCCUCGACUAUUUUUUCGCAAGAUUGAGUAUGAGUAGGGGCCGCAGAGAAAAGGGACUGGGAACUGUUUAUCAAAAACACAGGACUGUGCUAAAGCGCAAGCUUACGUAUACAGUCUGACGCCUGCCCGCUGUCGGAAGGUUAAAGAAGCCGGUCAUACCGCAAGGUUGCAGCUGGCGACCGAAGCCCCGAUAAAAGGCGGCCGUAACUAUGACGGUCCUAAGGUAGCGAAAUUCCUUGUCAGGUAAGUUCUGACGCGCAUGAAUGGCGUAAUCACUGGUCCAGUGUCUCAAAGGGAGACUCGGUGAAAUUGGAGUUGUGGAGAUACCACAGUCCCGCGGCAAGACGGAAAGACCCCAUGAACCUUUACUGUAGCCUGAUAGUGAUCUUAGGUGUUGUAUGCGUAGGAUAGGUGGGAGCCAGUGAUCCAGAGGUUUCGGCCUCUGGGGAGGCAACCGUGAAAUACCACCCUUAUUGCAUUUGAGAUCUAACCCCGAACCGUGAAUCCGGUCGGGAGACACUGUUAGGUGGGCAGUUUGACUGGGGCGGUCUCCUCCUAAACUGUAACGGAGGAGUUCUAAGGUUGGCUUAGUGUGUUUGGAAAUCACACUGUAAGGGCAUGGCCAUAAGCCAGCUUAACUGCGAGUCGGAUAUGACAAGCAGAUGCGAAAGCAGGACCAAGUGAUCCGGUGAUUCCUAAUGGACGGGUCAUCGCUCAACAGAUAUAAGGUACUCUGGGGAUAACAGGCUGAUCGCGCCCGAGCUCCAUAGCGGCGGCGCGGUUUGGCACCUCGAUGUCGGCCCAUCGCAUCCUGGGGCUGAAGGCGGUCCCAAGGGUUUGGCUGUUCGCCAAUUAAAGCGGUACGCGAGCUGGGUUCAGACCGGCGUGAGCCAGGUCGGUCCCUAUCUGCCGUGGGCGCAGGAUGAUUGAAGAAGACUCAACCCUAGUACGAGAGGAUUAGGUUGGACGAACCCCUGGUAUAUCUAUUGGCCCGCUCGGGCCAUAGUAGAGUAGCUAUGUUCGGACAGGAUAAACGCUGAAAGCAUCUAAGCGUGAAACCUCCUUCAAGAUGAGUCAUCCCCACUAGCCUCCAGCUAGACUAGCUGGUUGAUAGGCCGGAAGUGUACGCACAGUAAUGUGCUCAGCUGACCGGUACUAACAGGCGACUGGCUUGACC
rnacentral:rRNA from 1 species